CAUUCACUCAGUGAGUGGAAGAGGUUUGUUUGAAACAGACCGCAAUGGAGAGACCAGCGCCCAGGGAAGCGAGGGAGCAGCAGACUCCUUGCGGCAGCGCAUCGAGAUGAAAACACUUGCAGGAACAAGACAAUGUUAUGUGUGCUUGGUACGAAGCCAAGGAUGACCAGCUCCUUCGAACAACCAACAGAAAAAAACACUUGAAGGACCAAGACAAAGUAAGAUUUCUUCAGUGCAGAGGCAAGUGUGAGCAGAUCCUUCUGAUAAACAGCAGGGAUGUUCCCACUGUCAGAGCAGAGAACAUCCUUUCCGCAGUCACAGAGCAGAUUGAGUCAGACACACAGUGAGCUUAAUUUCCAACAGAUAUGUUCAAAUUUUACCAACAGGAGAACAAGGUUGGAGAAAUUAAACUUUAUUUUUCUUAUCUCUCCAUUCCACAUACACAGUUCCAACAAAUUUCAGCAUUCAUCACCCAUUGACUUUUACACUAUUUUUGAAGAGGGAUGAACUGAAAUUAUACACUCAGUAUCUGAAUGAAAUCUAUGUAAAAUUACUCUACUAGCAAUUAUCACAUAAUGAAUCACACCUCCACUAAGAAUAUUACUGGCUGCUGACAAUUAAGCCACUUUUACAAGUAGAAAAUGACCAGUAUGGAUU